AAAACACUCUGGGCCUAUGAUGCUUUGAGGAUACUUAGUUUGUAUUAUAUCUCAAAUAGCAGCCAACCUGUCCUUCUCAAAGGACCAAAAUAAUUAUGCAAUACCCUGAAACUUGGAAGAACUGCACAAGAAAAUGAGGAAGGGAAUAAAUAUGCUCAAAAUAGAGUGACCUUCAGCUUCAUCUUUGCUGCACCUCCAGUGGUAAUAAGCAUGUCAAAGAAAAAAUGAAGAUAAUUCCACUUUCCCCAGGAACUUAGUCUGCCCAUUAAUUGAGUUGCAUUUCUUUAAGCUCAUGGUUUACUUCUGGGAAAGAAAUCUCUAAUUCAGCAUAGCAGUUGCCCUGUUCAGCUUGGAAGUCAGUGGUUCAUGAAGACCGUGCCUGUCUAGCCAGUCAGGUUUUGGGAUUCUUAUGCUGGGACACAUGUCGGACUCUGCAGAUGGCAUAGAGCUAAUGUAUGCUGCAGAUUCACACCCGGUAGCAAUUGCUUCUGAAACCACUGCCUCUUAGCUCCAUAUACCACAAAUAAAAUUACUUAUUCUGCACAAGCAAAAAACUUUCUGCUUGGUUUCUUGUUGGAAACAGAAAUCUUCCCUUUACCUAGCAAAGAAAAGGCGCACCUUUGUGUUCAUUCCAUGUGUGUGAAGAGCCUUCUCAAGUGUAUAUAAUUCACCCAGCAUCUCUUCAGGCAUCAGUCUCUCAUCCUACUGAGAAAGGAAUGUUACAAAGCCAUCUGUAAGAGGAGCAGAAUUACAUGAACCCGAAUAAACGACUGCCUUAACUACUCCAAAACCCACAAUCAGGGUACCUGAUAAUCAUUCAGAAAAGAAGCAGACUUGUGAUCCCAGCUUUUUUAACUGACACCAUCUGCCUCUUAGUCUCUUUCUCCUGCUGACACCAACAGGUUUUCACCUUCUGGUUCACGAACACCUUGCCAGAAUAAUUUCCAUCCCUGGCUGGAACCAGGCUGCCUUUUUCCUCACUCUGUCGUGCCUCAGGCAGAGCUUUCCCAGGAGCAGUGCUGGAAGACAGGAGGUCCUCCUCUGUCCUGGAGUGGCUGUGAACAUCUCUGGCACUGCUGUGUCAUGCACCUUUGUUUCUGGAGAGCAGAGUGGAAGGGUGGGUGAAGCAGGAAUGUGGAUCUGCCCACUGCUCAUAAGUACCUACCUGCAGACUUAGCAC
ensembl:lncRNA